GAGUUGCGAACGGGUGAGUAACGCGUAGGUAACCUGCCUGGUAGCGGGGGAUAACUAUUGGAAACGAUAGCUAAUACCGCAUAAGAUUGACUAUUGCAUGAUAGUCAAUUGAAAGGUGCAAAUGCAUCACUACCAGAUGGACCUGCGUUGUAUUAGCUAGUUGGUGGGGUAACGGCUCACCAAGGCGACGAUACAUAGCCGACCUGAGAGGGUGAUCGGCCACACUGGGACUGAGACACGGCCCAGACUCC
rnacentral:rRNA from 1 species